AUGAAUGCUGGCGGCGUGCCUUAAACAUGCAAGUCGGACGGAGGGAGCAAUCCCUUAGUGGCGAACAGCUGAGUAACACGUAAGUGACCUGCCCAUUUGUGGGGGAUAACCCCGAGAAAUCGGAGCUAAUACCGCGUACGCUUACCUGGCAGACGGGUAAGGAAAGCCGAAAGGUGCAGAUGGAGGGGCUUGCGGCCCAUCAGGUAGUUGGUAUGGUAACGGCUUACCAAGCCAAUGACGGGUAGCUGGUCUGAGAGGAUGAUCAGCCAGACUGGGACUGAGAGACGGCCCAGACUCCUACGGGAGGCAGCAGUUGGGAAUCUUGCGCAAUGGGCGAAAGCCUGACGCAGCGACGCCGCGUGGGGGAAGAAGGCCUUCGGGUUGUAAACUCCUUUUGUCGGGGAAGAGUAAGGACGGUACCCGGCGAAUAAGCCCCGGCUAACUACGU
rnacentral:rRNA from 1 species